AAUAAAGUGCCUGACAAAAGGGUUAUCUUGAUAGGAUAAAUUAUGUAAAUUUUUACCUUUAUUA
rnacentral:tRNA from 1 species